rnacentral:siRNA from 1 species
GUACCAAUCGGUGAUGUGCAAUAC